AUUGAACGCUGGCGGCAGGCCUAACACAUGCAAGUCGAACGAGCGGCGGACGGGUGAGUAAUGUAUGGGAAACUGCCCGAUGGAGGGGGAUAACUACUGGAAACGGUGGCUAAUACCGCAUACCAUCGGAUGUACCCAUAUGGGAUUAGCUAGUAGGUGGGGUAACGGCUCACCUAGGCGACGAUCCCUAGCUGGUCUGAGAGGAUGACCAGCCACACUGGAACUGAGACACGGUCCAGAAUCCUACGUGAGGCAGCAGUGGGGAAUAUUGCACAAUGGGCGCAAGCCUGAGGCAGCCAUGCCGCGUGUAUGAAGAAGGCCUUCGGGUUGUAAAGUACUUUCAGCGGGGAGGCGUUACUCGCAGAAGAAGCACCGGCUAACGCCGUGCCAGCAGCCGCGGUAAUAC
rnacentral:rRNA from 1 species